AACGAACGCUGGCGGCAUGCCUAACACAUGCCAGUCGAACGAGACCUUCGGGUCUAGUGGCGCACGGGUGCGUAACGUGUGGGAACCUGCCCUUAGGUUCGGAAUAACUCCCCGAAAGGGGUGCUAAUACCGGAUAAUGUCUUCGGACCAAAGAUUUAUCGCCUUUGGAUGGGCCCGCGUUGGAUUAGCUAGUUGGUAGGGUAAAAGCCUACCAAGGCGACGAUCCAUAGCUGGUCUGAGAGGAUGAUCAGCCACACUGGGACUGAGACACGGCCCAGACUCCUACGGGAGGCAGCAGUGGGGAAUAUGGGACAAUGGGCGAAAGCCUGAUCCAGCAAUGCCGCGGGAGUGAUGAAGGCCUUAGGGUUGUAAAGCUCUUUUACCCGGGAUGAUAAUGACAGUACCGGGAGAAUAAGCUCCGGCUAACUCCGG
rnacentral:rRNA from 1 species